GUUUCUGAGAGAAGCCCUUAAAGCUUCUAGCAGGAAGAACGUUUCCUACUCAGACCCCAGUGAGACAACGAGACGAAACGAGACGACACCGAAGGAGAAGUGGCUUUAAUGAAAAGAUACUGCUGUACACAAUUCAGCACCUGUUCCAGAUACUUGUAGAUUGUUUCAAGAUUUUCAAAAGUCCGAUUUUGAAGAUACCGUGGCUGGUUUUUUUCCACCCCUUCAGAGAGCGAGCCGUGCUCUGGAAGAUCAAAGCAGAAUCCGUGCUGUUGCUGUGGCCUCACCUGUUUUCCUGGAUGCACCGCUCCCAACCGGAAGGAGGUUAAGCUGGAGUUCCCAUUCCUAGGAUCUCCCAAGUAACUUUUCUGUUCUCGUUUCAAUUGCGCAUUUUUUUCUUCUCCGCCGCUGGAGAUAUUUUCCCCUAUUUUUUUUUUAAAUAUUUUUCCCCCCUGAGAUCUCAGAGUUUAAAGACUGUACUUUUUUUGGACAUUUAUUGCGAAUUAGUGUUGGAUCCAACAUAGAGUCGUUAAGGGUUGAUUCGGAAUCUGUUAUUGUUUCUUGUGUGAUUAUUAUGAAGAAAUGUUCUGCAUAUUGUUUUUUUUUUCCACACUGUUGAACCAUAAGUGAAAUUAAUCCUCACAAUUUGUUUUGAGAUUUAUUGUUUACCUUUUUUUUUAUGUGUACCUGAUAUUUUUUUAAUUUAAUACAGAUUCUUUAUUUUACAUUUAAACUCGUUUUGAGUGUGUCAUUGUGGGUUGGGAGGGUGUACUAAGUCAGUAUUAAAUACAGCAUUCCUCCUUCACGAACUUAGCGAAUAAACAUAAAUUCUUUGAGCAUAAGUAGCCUCCUACCUAGCGUACAGGUACGUGGA